GAUGAACGCUAGCGAGAGGCCUAACACAUGCAAGUCGAGGGUAACAGGGAGCUUGCUCCCGCUGACGACCGGCGCACGGGUGAGUAACGCGUAUGCAACCUGCCCGCCACAGGGGAUAGCCGUUCCGAAAGGGAGAUUUAAUACCGCAUAAGACCACGCCUGGGCAUUCCAGGAGGGGUAAAAUAUUCAUAGGUGGCGGCUGGGCAUGCGUGACAUUAGCUAGUUGGCGGGCAACGGCCCACCAAGGCGACGAUGCGUAGGGGUUCUGAGAGGAAGGUCCCCCACACUGGUACUGAGACACGGACCAGAC
rnacentral:rRNA from 1 species